rnacentral:rRNA from 1 species
AUAUAGAUUAAGUUAUUAAGGGCGCACGGUGGAUGCCUUGGCACUAGAAGCCGACGAAGGACGUUACUAACGACGAUAUGCUUUGGGGAGCUGUAAGUAAGCUUUGAUCCAGAGAUUUCCGAAUGGGGAAACCCAGCACGAGUUAUGUCGUGUUAUCUGCAUGUGAAUACAUAGCAUGCAAGAAGGCAGACCCGGAGAACUGAAACAUCUUAGUACCCGGAGGAAGAGAAAGAAAAAUCGAUUCCCUGAGUAGCGGCGAGCGAAACGGGAAGAGCCCAAACCAAUAAGCUUGCUUAUUGGGGUUGUAGGACACUCUGUACGGAGUUACAAAAGAAUUUGUUAGACGAAUAACCUGGAAAGGUUAAUCAUAGAAGGUAAUAAUCCUGUAGUCGAAAACGAAUUCUCUCUUGAGUGGAUCCUGAGUACGACGGAGCACGUGAAAUUCCGUCGGAAUCUGGGAGGACCAUCUCCUAAGGCUAAAUACUCUCUAGUGACCGAUAGUGAACCAGUACCGUGAGGGAAAGGUGAAAAGUACCCCGGAAGGGGAGUGAAAGAGAACUUGAAACCGUGUGCUUACAAGUAGUCAGAGCCCGUUAAUGGGUGAUGGCGUGCCUUUUGUAGAAUGAACCGGCGAGUUACGAUCUGAUGCAAGGUUAAGCAGAAAAUGUGGAGCCGUAGCGAAAGCGAGUCUGAAUAGGGCGAAUGAGUAUUUGGUCGUAGACCCGAAACCAGGUGAUCUACCCUUGGUCAGGUUGAAGUUCAGGUAACACUGAAUGGAGGACCGAACCGACUUACGUUGAAAAGUGAGCGGAUG